AAAAACAUAACCUUUAGCCAAACAAAUAUUAAAGGCAACGCCUGCCCAGUGAACAAUUAAACGGCCGCGGUACCCUAACCGUGCAAAGGUAGCAUAAUCAUUUGUCUACUAAUUAUAGACCUGUAUGAAAGGCAAAAUGAGGGUCCAACUGUCUCUUGUAAUAAAUCAAUUAAACUGAUCUCCUAGUAAAAAAGCUAGAAUAACAACAUAAGACCAGAAGACCCUGUGAAGCUUUAAUUAAACUAUUAAAUCCCAUAAUAACUAUUUUAGGUUGGGGCGACCUUGGAAAAAAAAAGAACUUCCAAGACCCAGCACAGCUGAUAAUUGAACUAAGUUACUCCAGGGAUAACAGCGCAAUCUUCUUCAAGAGCCCUUAUCAAAAAGAAGGUUUACGACCUCGAUGUUGGAUCAGGACAUCCUAAUGGUGCAGCCGCUAUUAAGGGUUCGUUUGUUCAACGAUUAACAGUCCUACGUGAUCUGA
rnacentral:rRNA from 1 species